GACGAACGCUGGCGGCGUGCUUAACACAUGCAAGUCGAACGGUGACGAGGAGCUUGCUCCUCUGAUCAGUGGCGAACGGGUGAGUAACACGUGAGCAACCUGCCCCAGACUCUGGGAUAACAGUUGGAAACAGCUGCUAAUACCGGAUACGAGACGGAGAGGCAUCUCUACCGUCUGGAAAGUUUUUCGGUCUGGGAUGGACUCGCGGCCUAUCAGCUAGUUGGUGAGGUAAUGGCUCACCAAGGCGACGACGGGUAGCCGGCCUGAGAGGGCGACCGGCCACACUGGGACUGAGACACGGCCCAGACUCCUACGGGAGGCAGCAGUGGGGAAUAUUGCACAAUGGGCGAAAGCCUGAUGCAGCGACGCCGCGUGAGGGAUGACGGCCUCGGUUCGGUAACGUACGUUACUACGUCAGGAACGGAAGACGAAGGAGACGGUACGUACGCGACGAAGAAGACGACGACCGUAACUAACGUACGUACGACGACAGACCGACGGAAACGUAA
rnacentral:rRNA from 1 species